rnacentral:rRNA from 1 species
GAGUAACGCGUUGGUGACCUGCCCCAAAGAGGGGGAUAACAGUCCGAAAGGACUGCUAAUACCCCAUGUGGUCCGAGGGAUUAGAUGCCCUUUGACUAAAGGCGAAGUCACUUUGGGAGGGACCUGCGUCCCAUCAGCUGGUUGGUAGGGUAACGGCCUACCAAGGCUAUGACGGGUAGGGGACCUGAGAGGGUGACCCCCCACAAUGGAACUGAAACACGGUCCAUACACCUACGGGUGGCAGCAGUAGGGAGUAUUGGUUAAUGUGCGAAAGCGCGAACCAGCAACGCCGCGUGAGCGAUGAAGACCUUCGGGUUGUAAAGCUCUUUUUGAGAGGAAGAGGAAGGACUGUACUCUUAGAAUAAGCCUCGGCUAACUACGUGCCAGCAGCCGCGGUAAAACGUAGGAGGCGAGCGUUAUCCGGAUUUACUGGGUGUAAAGCGCGUGCAGGCGGUUCAGAAAGUUGGAUGUGAAAGCUCCUGGCUUAACUGGGAGAGGCCGUUCAAAACUAUCAGACUAGAGGACGGUAGAGGAAGGUAGAAUUCCCGGUGUAGUAGUGAAAUGCGUAGAUAUCGGGAGGAAUACCAGUGGCGAAGGCGGCCUUCUGGACCGUUCCUGACGCUCAGACGCGAAAGCUAGGGAGCGAACGGGAUUAGAUACCCCGGUAGUCCUAGCCGUAAACGAUGUGGACUUGGCGUCGGUGGGGUAAAAUCCAGCGGUGCCGAAGCAAACGCGAUAAGUCCACCGCCUGGGGACUACGGCCGCAAGGUUAAAACUCAAAGGAAUUGGCGGGGGCCCGCACAAGCAGCGGAGCGUGUGGUUUAAUUCGAUGCUACACGAAGAACCUUACCCGGGUUUGACAUUCAGGUAGUAGGGAACUGAAAGGGGACCGACCCUUCGGGGAGCCUGAACAGGUGCUGCAUGGCUGUCGUCAGCUCGUGUCGUGAGAUGUUGGGUUAAGUCCCGCAACGAGCGCAACCCCUACCAUUAGUUGUCAGCGAAUAAUGUCGGAUACUCUAAUGGGACUGCCGGUGACGAGCCGGAGGAAGGUGGGGAUGACGUCAAGUCAGCAUGGCCUUUAUGUCCAGGGCUACACACGUGCUACAAUGGACGGUACAGAGGGAUGCAAGACCGCGAGGUGGAGCAAAUCCCUAAAACCGUUCUCAGUUCGGAUUGCAGGCU